AGAUCAUUUCAAAGAGAACUUAUGGGACCAAAACCAGGACCUAAGAUUGAAGUUCUCCAUAGGAUAUAAUAGACACUCAGUAGUGCUAUGUUUCCCUGAGGAGAUAUAAGA
rnacentral:snoRNA from 1 species